UUUUUUUUUUUUUUUUUUUUUUUUCACGGCAAAUUUCGAGUUCAAUUUUUUCAAAAAAAA
rnacentral:ribozyme from 1 species